UACGUAGGGUGCGAGCGUUGUCCGGAAUUACUGGGCGUAAAGAGCUCGUAGGUGGUUUGUCGCGUUGUCCGUGAAAACUCACAACUCAAUUGUGGGCGUGCGGGCGAUACGGGCAGACUGGAGUACUGCAGGGGGAGACUGGAAUUCCUGGUGUAGCGGUGGAAUGCGCAGAUAUCAGGAGGAACACCGGUGGCGAAGGCGGGUCUCUGGGCAGUAACUGACGCUGAGGAGCGAAAGCGUGGGUAGCAAACAGG
rnacentral:rRNA from 1 species